rnacentral:misc_RNA from 1 species
UAACCUAACCUAACUAAAACAAAUCUAUUUCUAAUGUCAUUUUAAUGAAAACAUUAAAGAUGAAAAAAAUACUUAAACUCAAACAGCUGUAACAAAGUAACAACAUUGGAAGUAAUUAUGGUUAGUCUAAAUAAUUCAUUUUUAUAUGGAAUAUGCUUUGCUUCGGCCACUUGGUUAAUUUCCCUGUAUUUGUACUUUCAAAUAAUGAAAAAUGAAAGUUCUCCUACAAAAGGGCCAUAUAGUUUUCAUUACACAAGUACAAAUCUUAGUAACAGUAUUAAAUUCGAGCCUACACACCAUACUUUGCGACAAAUUGAACUUAUUUCGGACAAUGCAUUAAUGGACAUUGGAAUGAUUACAAAUUUGAAAGAUCAAGAAGUUAAAGACGAAGGAUAUAAAGUGCAUGCUUAUAAUGUGUUAGUUAGUAAUAGACUGAGCUUAAACAGGAGCAUUCCAGAUACAAGGAACCAGCUGUGCAAAGAAAAAGUUUAUCCUGACAAUCUUCCAAAAGCUAGUAUAAUUGUUUGCUUUUACAAUGAACAUUUUAGAACACUCCUCAGAACCGUUUAUUCUAUACUCAACAGGACACCUGAUAAAUUAUUAGAAGAAAUAUUGUUAAUAGAUGACGAAAGUGAUAUUGAAAAUUUACAUGAAGAUAUAGAUAAGUAUAUAAAGCAGAAUAAUUUAAAAAAAGUUAAGUUGUUUAAGACUGAUAGAAGAGAAGGGUUGAUCAGAGCUAGAUUGGUUGGUGCUAGGAAAGCUCAAGGACAGGUUCUUAUUUUUUUGGACAGUCACAUAGAGGUAAACAAUGGAUGGAUAGAGCCGCUCCUCUCUCGAAUCAAAGAAAAGCGAUCAAAUGUGGUAAUGCCAAUAAUUGAUAUUAUAAAUCCAGAUACAUUUAAUUACUCUGGUAGUCCUCUUGUCCGAGGUGGUUUCAACUGGGGACUGCAUUUUAAAUGGGAAAAUUUACCCACAGGUACUUUACAAACAAAAGAGGAUUUCGUCAAACCGAUUAAAUCUCCCACAAUGGCAGGCGGUCUGUUCGCGAUCGACAAGAACUACUUCAUCGAUAUCGGCGAAUAUGACGCUGGUAUGAAUAUAUGGGGAGGAGAGAAUCUAGAAAUAUCAUUUAGGAUAUGGAUGUGCGGAGGAUCUUUGGAGUUGAUACCAUGCAGUAGAGUUGGUCAUAUUUUUAGGCACAGAAGGCCCUAUGGGUCGCCUGAUGGGAAGGAUACUAUGCUGCAUAAUUCGUUAAGAGUUGCUCAUGUAUGGAUGGAUAAUUACAAGGAUUUCUUCUUGAAACAACGAUCGGAUUCCAAAAACGUCGAUUACGGCGACAUCUCCUCUCGACUACAGCUCCGUAAAGAACUGCACUGCUACGAUUUCGACUGGUAUCUCAAACACGUAUAUCCCGAGCUCCCUCUACCGAGCGAAGAAGGCGAACGGCUGAGGAAGAAAUGGUCAGCCUUGGAGAGAGACUCCUUCCAGCCCUGGCAUCUAAGGAAACGAAACUACGUCGAUCAGUACGAGAUACGACUGCAUAAUAGUAGUCUGUGCGUGCAGAGUGAGAAGGAUAAAACCAAAGGUAGUUCUUUGGUAUUGAGGAGUUGUUUACGUACCAAGAACCAGAUGUGGUAUGAAACGGACAAGAAUGAGCUAGUUUUGGCUCAGUUACUCUGCCUCCAAUACGGAAAAUCAGCCCCCAUUUUAUACAAAUGUCACGAAAUGGGAGGAGAUCAAGAGUGGAAGCACAAAGGAGGGAAAGAAACGCCAAUUUACAAUUUAGCUGCAGGGACUUGCCUGGCAGCCGAAAAGAAGUCAAUCAAUGCUUCCGUUGUCAUGAAGUUGUGUUCCGAUCCCAUUUUAUCGACUUGGGAUCUAGUGUGAUAAUAAAACAGUUGCAUUGAACAACCGUUCGAUGACUGCUUAGUCUAUAUUGAUGAUCAAAUUUGUUAAAAAGUGUAACUCGUCUAUAGGAAACAGUAUGUUCCCUGUGGAUUAGCUAAAACCAUUCUUUUACUUCUUAACUAUAUUGUAGUAGGAUAUUUUUAGACUAUUUCUAUAGUUUUCCCUGUUUUAUUAAGAAAUUUUACGAACGCUUUUACCAGAGAACAUCCAUAGAGUUAUAUAUUAGCAUAGAGAGAGUGUCAUUCAGAGCGAAGUGACGACACCAUCUUUUUUAUUUGGAUUAGUGCUGUUUCACUCUUACGCAUAUUAAAGCUGCUACAGUUGUCCUCCUCUUCCGAGAAUAUCUUCACACUGAAUGUCAUCAUAGAUUUUCGAUACAAUGUGUUAGAAAGAGAUGCAGCAAACCAGUCCAUGAGAUCUUGUCGUCAGGAAGCGCGGAAGGUAGGCUCCCUCUAUGUUAAUAUAUACCUCUAUGAGAACACCUACUGUCACAGUAAUGACACUUGUAUAUUUUUUAGAGGUUAUGUUUCACGUGAUAGAAUUGGCGAGGAACCGCAAAGUGGGCGACGCCUGGUGGCGAAUUUGAAAAGCAUCAACUCUAGGAAAACAUUGACUUUGCCAUUAAUUUGUGUAUAUAUUUGCGGUCAGUUUAUGCAUAGAGGUAAAUAUUAACAUAGAGGAAGUCUACCUUUCGCGCUUCCUGACGACAAGAUCUCAUGGACUGGUUUGCUGCAUCUCUUUCUAACACAUUAUAUCGAAAAUCUAUGAUGACAUUCAGUGUGAAUAUAGGCACGGAAGAGGAGGACAACUGUAGCAGCUUUACUAUGCGUAAGAGUGAAACAGCACUAAUCCAAAUAAAAAAGAUGGUGUCGUCACUUCGCUCUGACAGACACUCUCUCUAUGCUAAUAUAUAACUCUAUGAGUUUAUGUUGUAAUUAAGAAUAAUUUCGACUUAAAAAAACUAUUGCAGUGUUCCUCAGUAUUCAUUCCUAUUAUACUCUACGUAAUGACCUAAAUUAACCAAUGCCAAAUCACACAUUUUGUUAAUUUAACGUUUGUAUUAAACGUAGUAUUUUUUAAUGUUUAAGCGACUGGAAAAUUAAAUAAAUAAAUAAAAUGUAGUAUACAUUCUGUACAUAGAAUGUACAUUGUUUUGCAAAAUAUUCCGACCACCUCGUAAUUUCACCACGUUUUCAGUUUCUAUUUAAUUAAAAAUUGUUAUCUGUUGGUGUAAAAUAAAUUGUAGUGUACCUAUUAAUUAAAUUAAAAACAAAAUUAGAAAUUCCAAGAUAGAUUAAUAAUUUUUAGAACGAUGUGUGACUAUCGGGGGCCAGAUUUUUUUAUGAAAAAAAGGUAAAAACAAAUCAGUAGUUAGCAUCAAAUUUUAAUGAAUGCAUACAGAUGAAACAUAAUUUUGAGUCGUCUUUAACUUAUAAGAUGUCUUAGUGGCAAAACUUAGUGGUUACUUUGGCAAAACACUCCUGUAAAUGAUUUUAAUUUAACGUUGUAGAACUGUGAGAUCAAAUGACAAAAUGAAUUGUUUUCCUAGAGUUAUCGUCCAUCUUUGAAAUUUUGAGCGCCCUCUGUCGGAAUUUAAUUUUGCGAAUUAGAAGAAGUUGUUAACUACUUUUAACGCCUUAUUCUGCUGGGUUUCCGUAAACGAUAUAGGUACAGUUGACACCUUCAUGCACCAGAAAAUCUAAACUAUUAAGAAAUAACGCCUAAUGUUUAGGUAUAUGAACAAAAAGGUUAAGAAAUUAUUAUUAAGCAUAAGCAUAAUCACGAACUUGGCAGAAAAUUCCACCACUCGUCUCUUCAAUUAUAAUUUACUAGGUAAUAAUUUUGUUACCAUUUUUGUGUUGUUUGGAUGAUAUUUUGCCAUCGAAUGUGUGGACAAGACUGAAGAAAAACCGCUUUAGGUGUUUCUUAAAACGUUAUUGUCUUUCGUAUAGUAGUCCUUUUUCGUAUAGUAAAAAGAUAAUGUCACAGACUAGGGAUGUACAUAUUUUCUAUAGAUGGUUACCUACACUUUUUAAGGAUAUCUUUUUUUGUAUCAAUACUCUUUUUAAUUGUCUUUAGACUCUCUAAUUUAAAGAAAGCUCAUUUUAACUUAAGUUAGUUUAUAGAGUGGGCCAAAGAAAGCAGUCAAUCUUUACAUUUGUCUAAAACAGGUGGAUUUUUAUUCUAGUCGAAAGCGACCCCAUUUUUGCAAAAAAGUAGUAAUUUAUUAAAACUCUAACACCUUUGAAAAAUUAAACGUAACGCCUAUGGUUCGCUGCCUAUUAGAAAUUGCAUUGCGACUAAUUCUGAGAGAACAAUAAAGUAAAUAAAAUGAAAACAUUUUUAAUAUGCAUGGUACAAUUUUGCGCAUGACAUUUGACAGCUGAGGUCAAGCGUGUGACGUAGCAAAGAUCCCUGUGAGCCAUUAUUUGUAAUGCUACAGUUACUAUUAUAUGGAUUAUUUUGCAAAAUUCUUAUGAUUAACUCGUUUUAGCGAUUAUUUCAGUUUUUUGGAUAGUAUAUUUGUGUCAUAGUUUGUAUAGACUAAUUUAAGAACAUUUACUCGUUAGUGUGUAUAUAGUUUUAUUUACUUUCGUGUAUUUGUGUUUGGUGUUUGUACUCAAGUGUAGGAGUUGUUCAGUACCUACCUAAAUUACAAAGUGAUCAUCAAAAAUUAAGAAGUGGGAUACCCUGUAUAUUUGAAAAUAAUUUGAAAAUUUGUAGCGACCCAUUUUUAUGUGGAUAUUACUUUUUUUGUAUCUUUAAACAACUGAAAUAUCGAACUCUUGAGUACCACUUGAUCAACCUGUAUGUAUAAUAAACAAAUAAUAAUUAAAAAAAUGCUUUAUAAUGGAUAUCUGUGUUAACAAAAUAAAAGUUUCUAAAAUAUCAGUUUCAAAACCUCGCUAAAAUAACUACCCGAAAAUCAACAAAAUUAAAUUAGCUACAAAAUAUUUUUUAUUAUUAAAUAUUAUAAUAACACAACUUUAUCAUUUCUUUAUAAUUACUCUAAUUAAAUUAGACAAAUUGUAUUAAAAAUUUAAAAUUAAAAAGUCUUUUCUAUAAAACUACAUUCAAAUAUUGCGUGAAGAAGGAUCUUUACUACGUCAUGCGCGAAAGCGACCGAUCUUGGAACAUUACGUGCCAUAGGUACCUGGGAAUUUAAUAUGUAUGUAAUUAUAAAGUCACUUCUCGUUUUCAUUGCCGUUACGGUUAAUUUUUAAAAGGGAUAACACAUUCACUAAAUUCAUAUUUGUCACAAAAAUGGAGUUAAUUCUUGAAAAAAAUCAUAGAUGCCUCAAUUCUCCAUCCAAUUCGCUCUUUAACGAUGUAGCAGACAUGAUAUAUUCUUUAUUUAAGAAGUAUCGGACUGUUUUCAACGGCCCACUCUCUUUACACAGCAUGUGUCACAUUCAACAGAAAAGAAUUUGGUAUAUAAAUAGCUGUUGAUAUUAACAAUUCUUUUGAUACAGGAUGUCUCAAAAUAACUUAACAUAAAUUUCAUGGUGUUCUGUUUAGAAAUAUAUAACUUUAUGUUUCCCUUAUUUUGGCAUCUCUGUAUAUAUUUAACUAAUUUUGAUUUAUAGUAGCUACUGAUAUUUGUAUUCGUAGCAAAGGAGUUUUAGUAAGAUUUACCAUUUCGUCUGUAUGUGACACACUCUGUAUAAUUCAUUACUAAUAAUUGUUUUUGUAGAUCUUUUAUUUAAAUUGUCUCAAAAUUUUUAAGACUGAAUGUGAACAACUGUUAAGUGUAUUCCAAAUUAGGUAAUUUUAGGAAAUUUUUAUCAUUAUGUGAAAAUUUUUUUGGUCGCUUUGAGUUUUUACAUGGAAUUUGGUAUCUAUGGACAUGUCGAGGUUAAAGGUGGGCUUUUUAGGGGGAGGGAGCUAGAUAGACUAGUGAUAUCCUGAAAUGAGCUAAUAGACUUACAAAUAGGGGAAGACUGACAUAUCCAGUCGAGUCCAGAACUGUUUAUUAAGUAGACAUUGAACUCCACAAGCACAACUGUGCCCUGGAAAGUCUUUCAUAACCUAAUACAGUCCAUAGAACAUAAAAUAUAUGUGGCCAAAAUGGAUUUUCACAUGUGUUGACUUUUAUUAUUAUAUACACUUUUAUUGAUUUUUUUAAUAGUUUAGGCUCAUAUGGACGGCGUUAUGCAUAACUCGACCAAGCGCCAAAACAUAGUUUUGAGAUAAAUGGCUUCAAAGUUUUUUGGUUCUUGGUUGCUUAAUGGUCGCUUAAUGGUAAGUGGAUUAAUGUCGCUUGGUUUAAUUUUUUUUCUUAGUAACCGUUAACGUGACAAUAACAGGGAUUUUUUCCAAGAUAGUUUUAGCUAUGUAUCACCAGAAUCCGCUGUUAUCUCAAUAAUUAAGAAAUGGCGCUUGGUCGAGUUAUGCAUAACGCUGUCCAUAUUUAAAUCUAAUAGACAGUGCUUUUCGUCAAUUGGUAGAAACUGUAAAAAAAUGUACAAAAUUCUCACAAGAAUUUAAAAUAACAAUAACAGAGCUUCUUAAAUGUAAAAUGUGAUUGAUAUGGAACAGCAAUAUAGGUGUAUAUCUAUUUUUCACACAAAUAAUUUUAAGUUGUACAAUAGUGGAUUCACGUAACAUUUUCCCAUUUAUCAACGGAUGGGUAUGAAUGAAACUCAAUAUUUCGCUGUGUUCGAAGCAGUUGUGAUAAAGAAAGUUUUUCUUUUUUAAAUUUUUAUCGUUAAUUUAUUGGUAAUUACAUAGAAUAGGUACGCACAUCAAAAGGUUGUUUAUUAUUGAGCAAAAUUCGUAUUUUUGGCAAACCUCGUAUUUAUUCGCUUUGAUUUUUACAUGAUCCAACCUCUGGCGGACAAAAAAUAACUAAACUACCCACUUAUGCCCAAAGAGUUAUAGAUUAUCAUAGAGAGAGUGUCAUUCAGAGCGAAGUGACGAUACCAUCUUUUUUAUUUGGCAUAGUGCUGUUUCACUCUUACGCAUAGUAAAGCUGCGACAGUAGUCCUCCCCUUCCGUGCCUAUACUCACACUUAAUGUCAUCUUAGUUUGUCGAUACAAUGAUGUUAGAAAGAGAU